rnacentral:rRNA from 1 species
UACGGGGGGGGCAAGCGUUGUUCGGAAUUACUGGGCGUAAAGGGUUUGUAGGUGGCUCGCUAAGUCAGACGUGAAAUCCCUCGGCUUAACCGGGGAACUGCGUCUGAUACUGGAUGGCUUGAGGUUGGGAGAGGGAUGCGGAAUUCCAGGUGUAGCGGUGAAAUGCGUAGAUAUCUGGAGGAACACCGGUGGCGAAGGCGGUCAACUGGCCCUCAACUGACGCUGAGGCACGAAAGCGUGGGGAUCAAACAGG